GACGAACGCUGGCGGCGUGCUUAACACAUGCAAGUCGAACGGAAAGGCCCUGCUUUUGUGGUGUGCUCGAUUGGCGAACGGGUGAGUAACACGUGAGUAACCUGCCCUUGACUUUGGGAUAACUUCAGGAAACUGGGGCUAAUACCGGAUAGGAGCUCCUUCUGCAUGGUGGGGGUUGGAAAGUUCCGGCGGUUGGGGAUGUACUCGCGGCUUAUCAGCUUGUUGGUGGGGUAGUGGCUUACCAAGGCUUUGACGGGUAGCCGGCCUGAGAGGGUGACCGGCCACAUUGGGACUGAGAUACGGCCCAGAGUCCUACGGGAGGCAGCAGUGGGGAAUAUUGCACAAUGGGCGGAAGCCUGAUGAAGCAACGCCGCGUGCGGGAUGACGGCCUUCGGGUUGUAAACCGCUUUAGCCUGUGACGAAGCGUGAGUGACGGUAAUGGGUAAAGAAGCACCGGCUAACUACGUG
rnacentral:rRNA from 1 species